UGAUGCGUAGGGGGUGUGAGAGCAUGGCCCCCACCACUGGCACUGAGACACUGGCCAGACACCUACGGGUGGCUGCAGUCGAGAAUCUUCGGCAAUGGGCGCAAGCCUGACCGAGCGACGCCGCGUGCGGGAUGAAGGUCUUCGGAUUGUAAACCGCUGUCGGAGGGGAUGAAGUGCAUGGGGGUACUCCCCUGUGUUUGACAGAGCCUCGGAGGAAGCACGGGCUAAGUUCGUGCCAGCAGCCGCGGUAAUACGAACUGUGCGAACGUUAUUCGGAAUCACUGGGCUUAAAGGGUGCGUAGGCGGCGGCUCCAGUCAGGUGUGAAAUCCCCCGGCUCAACCGGGGAACAGCGCUUGAAACUAGGUCGCUCGAGUGAGGCAGGGGUGUAUGGAACUUCCGGUGGAGCGGUGAAAUGUGUAGAGAUCGGAAGGAACGCCGGCGGCGAAAGCGGUACACUGGGCCUUGUCUGACGCUGAGGCACGAAAGCUAGGGGAGUGAACGGGAUUAGAUACCCCGGUAAUCCUAGCCGUAAACACUGAGCACUGGAGGGGAGGGGUUUCGGCCCUUUCCCUCGCAGCGAAAGCGUUAAGUGCUCCGCC
rnacentral:rRNA from 1 species